rnacentral:rRNA from 1 species
CCCGCCGGCGACCGGCGCACGGGUGAGUAACACGUAUGCAACCUGGCCGUGACAGAUGGAUAACCGGGAGAAAUCCCGCCUAAUACAACAUAAUGCCGGGAGGGGACAUCCCCUGCCGGUCAAAGGGGGCGACCCCGGUCACGGAUGGGCAUGCGGCGCAUUAGGUAGUUGGUGGGGCAACGGCCCACCAAGCCGACGAUGCGUAGGGGUUCUGAGAGGAAGGUCCCCCACAUUGGAACUGAGACACGGUCCAAACUCCUACGGGAGGCAGCAG